CCUACGGGUCGCACCAGUGGGGAAUAUUGGACAAUGGGGGAAACCCUGAUGCAGCCAUGCCGCGUGUGUGAAGAAGGCCUUCGGGUUGUAAAGCACUUUCAGUAGGGAGGCAGGUAGUGUAGUUAACACCUGCACUAUUUGACGUUACCUACAGAAGAAGCACCGGCUAACUCCGUGCCAGCAGCCGCGGUAAUACGGAGGGUGCGAGCGUUAAUCGGAAUUACUGGGCGUAAAGCGCAUGCAGGCGGCCUGUUAAGUCAGAUGUGAAAGCCCGGGGCUUAACCUCGGAAUUGCAUUUGAAACUGGCAGGCUAGAGUCUUGUAGAGGGGGGUAGAAUUUCAGGUGUAGCGGUGAAAUGCGUAGAGAUCUGAAGGAAUACCAGUGGCGAAGGCGGCCCCCUGGACAAAGACUGACGCUCAGAUGCGAAAGCGUGGGGAGCAAACAGGAUUAGAUACCCCCGUAGUC
rnacentral:rRNA from 1 species